GUCGAACGGUAACGGGUCCUUCGGGAUGCCGACGAGUGGCGAACGGGUGAGUAAUACAUCGGAACGUGCCUGGUAGUGGGGGAUAACUACUCGAAAGAGUGGCUAAUACCGCAUGAGAUCUCAGGAUGAAAGCAGGGGACCCUCGGGCCUUGCGCUAUCAGAGCGGCCGAUGGCAGAUUAGGUAGUUGGUGGGAUAAAAGCUUACCAAGCCGACGAUCUGUAGCUGGUCUGAGAGGACGAUCAGCCACACUGGGACUGAGACACGGCCCAGACUCCUACGGGAGGCAGCAGUGGGGAAUUUUGGACAAUGGGCGCAAGCCUGAUCCAGCAAUGCCGCGUGCAGGAUGAAGGCCUUCGGGUUGUAAACUGCUUUUGUACGGAACGAAAAGCUUCGGGCUAAUACCCUGGAGUCAUGACGGUACCGUAAGAAUAAGCACCGGCUAACUACGUGCCAGCAGCCGCGGUAAUACGUAGGGUGCAAGCGUUAAUCGGAAUUACUGGGCGUAAAGCGUGCGCAGGCGGUUUUGUAAGACAGUGGUGAAAUCCCCGGGCUCAACCUGGGAACUGCCAUUGUGACUGCAAGGCUGGAGUGCGGCAGAGGGGGAUGGAAUUCCGCGUGUAGCAGUGAAAUGCGUAGAUAUGCGGAGGAACACCGAUGGCGAA
rnacentral:rRNA from 1 species